rnacentral:tRNA from 1 species
GCCUGGGUGGCUCAGUCGGUGAAGCGUCCGACUUCGGCUCAGGUCAUGAUCUCACUGUUUGUGGGUUCGAGCCCCGCGUCGGGCU